GGGCGGGUGGUCUAGGGGUUAUGACGCCGCCCUCACACGGCGGAGAUUACCGAUGUUAACCGCAUAUAAGCUAAAGCUUAGCGGUGUUCGGGGGUUCGAAACCCUCCCCGCCCA
rnacentral:tRNA from 1 species